rnacentral:rRNA from 1 species
ACUCCUACGGGAGGCAGCAGUGGGGAAUAUUGCACAAUGGGCGCAAGCCUGAUGCAGCCAUGCCGCGUGUGUGAAGAAGGCCUUCGGGUUGUAAAGCACUUUCAGUUGUGAGGAAGGUGGUGGUCGUUAAAUAGCGGCAUCAUUUGACGUUAGCAACAGAAGAAGACACCGGCUAACUCCGUGCCAGCAGCCGCGGUAAUACGGAGGGUGCGAGCGUUAAUCGGAAUUACUGGGCGUAAAGCGCAUGCAGGUGGUUUGUUAAGUCAGAUGUGAAAGCCCGGGGCUCAACCUCGGAACUGCAUUUGAAACUGGCAGACUAGAGUACUGUAGAGGGGGUAGAAUUUCAGGUGUAGCGGUGAAAUGCGUAGAGAUCUGAAGGAAUACCGGUGGCGAACGGNGGCCCCCUGGACAGAUACUGACACUCAGAUGCGAAAGCGUGGGGAGCAAACAGGAUUAGAUACCCUGGUAGCUACG